rnacentral:rRNA from 1 species
GAUGAACGCUAGCGGCAGGCCUAAUACAUGCAAGUCGAACGAGAUUAAGGAGCUUGCUCCUUAUGAAAGUGGCGCACGGGUGCGUAACGCGUAUGCAACCUACCUUAAUCAGGGGGAUAGCCCGAAGAAAUUCGGAUUAACACCGCAUAAAAACACAGGAUAGCAUUAUCCAAUGUUCAAAUAUUUAUAGGAUUAAGAUGGGCAUGCGUGUCAUUAGCUAGUUGGCGGGGUAACGGCCCACCAAGGCGACGAUGACUAGGGGAUCUGCGAGGAUGACCCCCCACACUGGUACUGAGACACGGACCAGACUCCUACGGGAGGCAGCAGUAAGGAAUAUUGGUCAAUGGAGGCAACUCUGAACCAGCCAUGCCGCGUGCAGGAAGACUGCCCUAUGGGUUGUAAACUGCUUUUAUCCGGGAAUAAACCUAAUUACGUGUAAUUAGCUGAAUGUACCGGAAGAAUGAGGAUCGGCUAACUCCGUGCCAGCCGCCGCAGUAACAC